rnacentral:misc_RNA from 1 species
GACAAAUUGAGGUAGAGAAUAGGACACUAACCACUCUAUUGCGUGCUAUGAUCCAAAAGAACUUGAAAUCUUGGGAAGAUUGUUUGCCAUUUGUUGAGUUUGCUUAUAAUUGCGUUAUGCAUUCUUCCACAGGAUUUUCACCUUUUCAGCUUGUAUAUGGAUGUAAUCCAUUCACACCACUAGACUUGCUACCAUUGCCUAUUGAUAAUAUUGAUAGUCUAGAUGGUAAAAAAAAUGCUAAAUUGGUUAAGAAAUUACAUGAGCAAGCUAGGGUACACAUUAAAAAGAAAAAAGCACAAUAUGCUUCUCAUGCUAACAAAGGCCACAAGGUAUUUAUUUUUGAGCCAGGUGACUUGGUGUGGGUACAUUUUAG